rnacentral:sRNA from 1 species
CCGGAGUAAGAUGGCGGCGCUGAGGGCUUUGGGCGGCCUCCGGGGCGUCGCGGCCCAGGUGCUGCGGCCUGGGGCUGGAGUCCGAUUGCCGAUUCAGCCCAGCAGAGGUGUUCGGCAGUGGCAGCCAGAUGUGGAAUGGGCACAGCAGUUUGGGGGAGCUGUUAUGUACCCAAGCAAAGAAACAGCCCACUGGAAGCCUCCACCUUGGAAUGAUGUGGAACCUCCAAAGGACACAAUUGUGAAGAACAUGACCCUGAACUUUGGGCCCCAACACCCAGCAGCGCAUGGUGUCCUGCGACUAGUGAUGGAAUUGAGUGGGGAGAUGGUGCGGAAGUGUGAUCCUCACAUCGGGCUCCUUCACCGAGGCACUGAGAAGCUCAUUGAAUACAAGACCUAUCUUCAGGCCCUUCCAUACUUUGACCGGCUAGACUAUGUGUCCAUGAUGUGUAACGAACAGGCCUAUUCUCUAGCUGUGGAGAAGCUGCUAAACAUCCGGCCUCCUCCUCGGGCACAGUGGAUCCGAGUGCUGUUUGGAGAAAUCACACGGCUGUUGAACCACAUCAUGGCUGUGACCACACAUGCCCUGGACCUUGGGGCCAUGACCCCUUUCUUCUGGCUGUUUGAAGAAAGGGAGAAGAUGUUUGAGUUCUACGAGCGAGUGUCUGGAGCCCGGAUGCAUGCUGCUUAUAUCCGGCCAGGAGGAGUGCACCAGGACCUACCCCUUGGGCUUAUGGAUGACAUUUAUCAGUUUUCUAAGAACUUCUCUCUUCGGCUUGAUGAGUUGGAGGAGGUAAGCUAGGAGUCAAUGGGAAAAAUCUCUCCCCCACAAGAAGGGCUUGUGGGAUUUUAUUCCCCAGUUGUAAAGAAAUACAGAGAUAUUUGAAGAGUGUGAGGAAGAGUAUUAACACACCAGUUUUCUUGAUCAAUAGUUGCUGACCAACAAUAGGAUCUGGCGAAAUCGGACAAUUGACAUUGGGGUUGUAACAGCAGAAGAAGCACUUAACUAUGGUUUUAGGUGAGGGGAAUAUGACUUCUCUCCUUAGGAGUGGGGAUGGGAGUGGGGGAGUUCCAGCCUAAUAUCUUGUCUUUGAAGACUUGUU